AGAGUUUGAUCCUGGCUCAGAUUGAACGCUGGCGGAAUGCUUUACACAUGCAAGUCGAACGGCAGCACGGGGCAACCUGGUGGCGAGUGGCGAACGGGUGAGUAAUAUAUCGGAACGUGCCCAAUCGUGGGGGAUAACGUAGCGAAAGUUACGCUAAUACCGCAUACGAUCUACGGAUGAAAGCGGGGGAUCGCAAGACCUCGCGCGAAUGGAGCGGCCGAUAUCAGAUUAGGUAGUUGGUGGGGUAAAGGCUCACCAAGCCAACGAUCUGUAGCUGGUCUGAGAGGACGACCAGCCACACUGGAACUGAGACACGGUCCAGACUCCUACGGGAGGCAGCAGUGGGGAAUUUUGGACAAUGGGCGCAAGCCUGAUCCAGCCAUUCCGCGUGCAGGAUGAAGGCCUUCGGGUUGUAAACUGCUUUUGUACGGAACGAAACGGUCUGCCCUAAUACGGCAGGCUAAUGACGGUACCGUAAGAAUAAGCACCGGCUAACUACGUG
rnacentral:rRNA from 1 species